rnacentral:rRNA from 1 species
GACGAACGCUGGCGGCGUGCUUAACACAUGCAAGUCGAACGGAAAGGCCCUGCUCUUGUGGGGUGCUCGAGUGGCGAACGGGUGAGUAACACGUGAGUAACCUGCCCUUGACUUUGGGAUAACUCCAGGAAACUGGGGCUAAUACCGGAUAGGAGCUCCUGCUGCAUGGUGGGGGUCGGAAAGUUUCGGCGGUUGGGGAUGGACUCGCGGCUUAUCAGCUUGCUGGUGGGGUAGUGGCUUACCAAGGCCUUGACGGGUAGCCGGCCUGAGAGGGUGACCGGCCACGUUGGGACUGAGAUACGGCCCAGACUCCUACGGGAGGCAGCAGUGGCGAAUAUUGCACGCUGGGCGGAAGCCUGAUGCAGCAACGCCGCGUGCGGGAUGACGGCCUUCGGGUUGUAAACCGAUUUCGCCUGUGACGAAGCGUGAGUGACGGUAAUGGGUAAAGAAGCACCGGCUAACUACGUG